rnacentral:rRNA from 1 species
UACGUAGGGGGCAAGCGUUGUCCGGAUUUAUUGGGCGUAAAGAGCUCGUAGGCGGCUUGGCAAGUCGGGUGUGAAAACUUCAGGCUCAACCUGGAGCGGCCACUCGAUACUGCUAUGGCUUGAGUCCGGUAGGGGACCACGGAAUUCCUGGUGUAGCGGUGAAAUGCGCAGAUAUCAGGAGGAACACCAGUGGCGAAGGCGGUGGUCUGGGCCGGAACUGACGCUGAGGAGCGAAAGCAUGGGUAGCAAACAGG